GAAAUGCGAUAAGUAAUGUGAAUUGCAGAAUUCAGUGAAUCAUCGAAUCUUUGAACGCACCUUGCGCUCCUUGGUAUUCCGAGGAGCAUGCCUGUUUGAGUGUCAUUAAAUUCUCAACCUCACCAGUUUUCUAAACUGUUCUUCGAGGCUUGGAUGUGGGGGUUUGUGCAGGCUGCCUUUCUGGCGGUCUGCUCCCCUGAAAUGCAUUAGCGAGUUCAUACUGAGCUCCGUCUAUUGGUGUGAUAAUUAUCUACGCCGUGGACGAGGUUCAGACUUGCUUCUAACCGUCCGCAAGGACAAUACCUUGACAAUUUGACCUCAAAUCAGGUAGGACUACCCGCUGAACUUAA
rnacentral:misc_RNA from 1 species